rnacentral:rRNA from 1 species
CAGUCGCCGCGGUAAAACGGAGGGAGCUAGCGUUAUUCGGAAUUACUGGGCGUAAAGCGCACGUAGGCGGCUUUGUAAGUUAGAGGUGAAAGCCUGGAGCUCAACUCCAGAAUUGCCUUUAAGACUGCAUCGCUUGAAUCCAGGAGAGGUGAGUGGAAUUCCGAGUGUAGAGGUGAAAUUCGUAGAUAUUUGGAAGAACACCAGUGGCGAAGGCGGCUCACUGGACUGGUAUUGACGCUGAGGUGCGAAAGCGUGGGGAGCAAACAGGAUUAGAUACCCCCGUAGUCCCUGUCUCUUAUAC